rnacentral:rRNA from 1 species
UACGUAGGGCGCAAGCGUUAUCCGGAAUUAUUGGGCGUAAAGAGCUCGUAGGCGGUUUGUCGCGUCUGCCGUGAAAGUCCGGGGCUCAACUCCGGAUCUGCGGUGGGUACGGGCAGACUAGAGUGAUGUAGGGGAGACUGGAAUUCCUGGUGUAGCGGUGAAAUGCGCAGAUAUCAGGAGGAACACCGAUGGCGAAGGCAGGUCUCUGGGCAUUAGCUGACACUGAGGUGCGACAGCGUGGGGAGCGAACCGG